UACGGAGGGUGCAAGCGUUGUCCGGAAUUACUGGGCGUAAAGCGCGUGUAGGCGGUCUGUUAUGUCGGGUGUGAAAUCCCUCGGCUCAACCGAGGAACUGCGCUCGAAACUGGCAGACUUGAGUGCGGGAGGGGAAGGUGGAAUUCCCGGUGUAGAGGUGAAAUUCGUAGAUAUCGGGAAGAAUACCGGUGGCGAAGGCGACCUUCUGGUCCGCAACUGACGCUGAGACGCGAAAGCGUGGGGAGCAAACAGGAUUAGAUACCCUGGUAGUCCACGCCUUAAACUAUGAUCACUGGGUGUUGGGGGUAACAAUUCCCUCAGUGCCGUAGCUAACGCGUUAAGUGAUCCGCCUGGGAAGUACGGCCGCAAGGCUAAA
rnacentral:rRNA from 1 species